CUGCGGUGAAUACGUUCCCGGCUCUUGUACACUACCGCCCGUCAAACCAUGAAAGUCACCAACACCGAAGUCCGAUUCGUCGGCCUAAGGUGGGGGGAUGAGUUGGGUU
rnacentral:rRNA from 1 species